GGGGCCGUAGUCUAGCUUGGUAGGACUCACCCUUGGGGUGGGUGCAACCGGGGUUCAAAUCCUCGCGGCCCCA
rnacentral:tRNA from 1 species